rnacentral:rRNA from 1 species
UACGAAGGGUGCAAGCGUUACUCGGAAUUAUUGGGCGUAAAGCGUGCGUAGGUGGCUUGUUAAGUCUGCUGUGAAAGCCCUGGGCUUAACCUGGGAAUGGCAUUGGAAACUGGCGGCCUAGAGUGCGGUAGAGGGUAGUGGAAUUCCCGGUGUAGCGGUGAAAUGCGUAGAGAUCGGGAGGAACAUCUGUGGCGAAGGCGACUGGCUGGACCAGCACUGACACUGAGGCACGAAAGCGUGGGGAGCAAACAGG